rnacentral:rRNA from 1 species
CGGGGUGCAGCAGGCGCGAAACCUUUACACUGCGGGAAACCGCGAUAAGGGGACCCCGAGUGCCAGCACCUAGUGCUGGCUGUCCAGCUGUCUAAAUAACAGUUGUUAGCAAGGGCCGGGCAAGACCGGUGCCAGCCGCCGCGGUAACACCGGCGGCCCGAGUGGUAGCCGCUAUUAUUGGGUUUAAAGGGCCCGUAGCCGGCCUAUUAAGUCUCUUGGGAAAUCUGGCGGCUUAAUCGUCAGGCGGCCAAGAGAUACUGGUAGGCUUGGGACCGGGAGAGGUGGGAGGUACUCCAGGGGUAGGGGUGAAAUCUCGUAAUCCUUGGGGGACCACCGAUGGCGAAGGCAUCCCACCAGAACGGGUCCGACGGUGAGGGACGAAAGCUGGGGGCACGAACCGGAUUAGAUACCCGGGUAGUCCCAGCUGUAAACGAUGCUCGCUAGGUGUCAGGUGCGGUGCGACCGCAUCUGGUGCCGCAGUGAAAACUUGAAGCGAGUCACCUGGGAAGUACGGUCGCAAGGCUGAAACUUAAAGGAAUUGGCGGGGGAGCAC